ensembl:lncRNA
CCCCCCUCAAGAGAUGGGGAGUAGGGGCAUCAAGGUCUCUCUGGCUACCUCCUGCUGAGCUGGGACAAUGAGGGCAUUGGGCCUCCCCCACUUGCUAAUCUCAAGCCUCAGAGUCCUUAUAGUGGUGAGCAUCUAAGGAUGAUGGUGCCUAUGAAUUAACUAAACUGCUGUGGUAAUGCUAAAGCUGCCAGUUCAAGAACUAGCAACAAUUUUACAAAGAAUUCUCUUUGUUUACUCCCUACUCAAGAAUUUCAGUCAAAACAUUACUUUUCAAGUAUUUGAUUUGGAUUUAUUAGUGCUCUUACUUCACUGUUUA